AAACUCAAAUGAAUUGACGGGGGCCCGCACAAGCGGUGGAGCAUGUGGUUUAAUUCGAUGCAACGCGAAGAACCUUACCUGGUCUUGACAUAUCUAGAAUCCUGCAGAGAUGCGGGAGUGCCUUCGGGAAUUAGAAUACAGGUGCUGCAUGGCUGUCGUCAGCUCGUGUCGUGAGAUGUUGGGUUAAGUCCCGCAACGAGCGCAACCCUUGUCCUUAGUUACCAGCGGGUUAAGCCGGGAACUCUAAGGAUACUGCCAGUGACAAACUGGAGGAAGGCGGGGACGACGUCAAGUCAUCAUGGCCCUUACGACCAGGGCUACACACGUGCUACAAUGGUAGGUACAGAGGGCAGCUACACAGCGAUGUGAUGCGAAUCUCAAAAAGCCUAUCGUAGUCCAGAUUGGAGUCUGCAACUCGACUCCAUGAAGUAGGAAUCGCUAGUAAUCGCGGAUCAGAAUGCCGCGGUGAAUACGUUCCCGGGCCUUGUACACACCGCCCGUCACACCAUGGGAGUUGAUUGCACCAGAAGUGGUUAGCCUAACCUUUUAGGAAGGCGAUCACCACGGUGUGGUUGAUGACUGGGGUGAAGUCGUAACAAGGUAACCGUA
rnacentral:rRNA from 1 species